rnacentral:lncRNA from 1 species
UCCCCAGCUCCAAAAAAAAAAGAACCAAAAAAAAAAAAAAAAGUAGCUGUGGGAUUCCAAUUCAGGACCUCACGUGCCCAGACAAGCAUAAAGGGUACAGGGGAAAAAACAACUCGGCUCUCACCACCGCCAAGGAAGAGAGUGGGUGCUCACAGGUGUGUACAGAGGAUAUGCUGGAGAAGCACGGAAGCACUUACAACAGACCUUACAAGCACACGAUGAAGGUGCCCAUGAGAAAAGAGCAAGAGGUUACUGGCUGAUAUUUAAGAAGAGAACUGGGGGCUGGAGUGAUCAGCAGCUAAGAGCACUGACUGUUCUUUCAGAGAAAGAAUGCCAUCACCCACAUGACGGCUCACAGUCACCGCUAACUCUACUGUCAGGGAUCCGUCACCUGUUUCUGGCCUCUGAAGGUACCAGGUACACACAUGGUGCACAGACAUGCAUGCAGGCAAAACACCAUACACACUAAAACAAACAAACAAAAAAAACCCAAUUGGGUUGGGGAUUUAGCUCAGUGGUAGAGCGCUUGCCUAGCAAGCGCAAGGUCCUGGGUUCAGUCCCCAGCUCCGAAAAAAAAAAAAAAAAAA